GUUUCCACAGCCACAGAGACGGUGCGUGAAGGUGAGGUGCAGCCUAGUGCAUAUGACUGACAGAAACGUGAAGCCACAGUGGACGCCUGGAUGAGACACAGAUCACCUUCCAAAUCUGAGUGUGGCCUUGGGACCAACCAGGCAGCCAGGGAGAAGGCAGAGACCAGAGGGAACCCAGGUGCCCUCAAUCCCAGCCUCCUCUAUCCCAGCCUCCCAAUCCCAGCCUCCCCAAUCCCAGCCUCCUAAUCCCAGCCUCCUCCAUCCCAGGACCCCCACUCCCAGCCUCCCGAUCCCAGCUUCUCUGAUCCCAGCCUCCCCUAAAACCCAGACUCUAUGAAUCCCAGCCUCUGAGGUGGGAACUGUUAGUAACCCCACUCCAUGGACAAGAAAGCUGGGGCCUGGCGAGGCUAACAGACUAUCCUGAUGGUGUGAGGGAGGGAUCGGCCUCUGAGGGCUGCUUCCACCCAUCUCACCAGUGGCUGCAGGCUCCAGGCGCCACUUUCCUUGAGUCUAUGUUCUUUCCAAGCAUCCUGCAGCUCCAGAAGCUCUGGAGCCGCCAGCACUGAGAGAAGCGAUGGAGCUGCAUGCAGGGUGAGUGUAGGACCGGGCGGAGCUGCUCUGUGGCUGGCGGGCACAUUCUUUGUCAACAUGAGCAUCUCUCACUGUUCCUAGACCCCCUGGCUCCCCAGCUUCCUUGGAGCCAGGCGUGGCCACAGGAAAAUGUUUAGGUCAAUGACAGGUGAGCAA
rnacentral:lncRNA from 10 species